UACGAGUGCCCCAAGCGUUAUCCGGAAUUAUUGGGCGUAAAGGGUGUGUAGGUGGUUUGGUUAGUCUUCUGUAAAAUUCUUCGGCUUAACCGGGGUCCUGCAGAGGAAACGGCCAGACUCGAGGAUGCGAGGGUCAGUGGAACUCAUGGAGUAGGGGUGAAAUCCGUUGAUAUCAUGGGGAACACCAAAAGCGAAGGCAACUGACUGGCGCAUUC
rnacentral:rRNA from 1 species